AUCUCAUUCCCUUCUCAAAAAAAUCUAUUUCUUUCUGAUUUUUUGGGCGUUUUUAUUCGGGAAUCAUUUCGGAGCAGCGUUUUCUUGGACUUUGAAAAUCAUAAUCAAAGCACUAUCUGAUUAUUACAAAAUAAGGUGUAUAACUUCAUAGACCAUUGUUGUCUUGAUUUAUUGAUUAUAAUGAUUUGUUAUCUGUUGAUUACUAGUGUUCUGGUGAUGGUAGUUUAUGCAAUUCCAUGUUUGCUAUAUUCACAAUCAGUGUAUACAAACCCAAUGUAGAAAGUUUUUGAAUAUGUUAAAUCUCUCUCAACUUUAUUUUUUUGCAUGUAUCAGUUGUUGCCAAAAUUCCCCCCACCCAGGUUUGUUGUUUAAGGAAAAGAAUGUCGAGUGGAGACUUUGCAAGCAAAAUUUCCCAGUCCCACAUUGCUAAUGAGAGAAAUUUGAUGACUUUCAAGAUAUAUAAAACGAGGUUUACUGUUUAUUAAAAAGUAUCUUUGCGCUUGGGGCAAUGACGCAGCUAAUGAGGUUCUAACCGAGGCGCGUCUAUUGCUGGUUGAAAACUAUUUCCAAACCCCCUCUUAGGCUUGAGUUCAACUUGAGCCUUUGAGAAUUUUUGAAAGGACUCCCUUUGGGGUAAAGUCCUACAAAUUUAGUUCAAUUUUCAUCUUAGUUUUCUCUUACACUACUUUUUCCAUAUUUUAUAUUUUAAGCUGUAACAAUAUAAAGAUUAAUAUAACUCUGUUUUUGUUUCCUGUUUUGAGUUUGACUUAUUUGAAUGUCUUUCUUCUGUUUACAAGCAGUUUGAAAUUUAGGCUGUGAAUAGCUGGUGAGUGAGUUAAGCUAGUUGUCAACUACUGUCAACAUGAUACCUAAUUUUUUAGGAAGAGAAUCCAUAACUGUACUUGGACUUUCGUUUACGUGUAUGACAUGAAUGAGUGUUUGGUUAAUGGGCCAGAUUCUUGCGGUGAACCUUUUCGAUUGAGGAAAAAAUCCAAUUGAUGAUAAGUUGCGAUUGACUGACGUUCAGAAUUAUACUUUGAAAAUGUAUUGAGAAACUACAGAGAUCAAGUAGCUGGAUAAGUUGCUUGCAUUUUGUAUUUUCUGUUGGGAGUUGAAGAUUGUCAAUAUGUGGCUGGAUUAGAAGGCAGUAAAAUUCAAGAACUUUGGUACUGGUUUAGUGAUUGGAUUUUUUUUACUAUAAUAUUAUGUUUUGCUGUAAAUAUUUGCUUGUCUGGGCUUGGGACACCGACGCAGCUAGUGAGAUUCUAACCGAGGCACGUCUAUUGCAGGUUGAAAACUAUUUCUAAACCCCUUAUUAGAGGUAAAGUCCUACAAAUUUAGUGAGCUAAGCUAGUUGUCAACUACUAUCCACAAUGAUUCUUAUUUUUUUAGGUAGAGAAUCCGUAACAGUAAUUCCAGUCAGAAUUUAUAAAGCCAUCAGUUAAUCCUGGACACAUCCUUCACAGUUCCAUAAACACUGUUUUUGCGUCCUAAGGAAAUUUCCAUUGAAAGGACCCAAAUGCUGGCUAGGUGAGUAGAACCAACUGAGAACCAUCAUCUACAGCUGAAGAUGAUGCCCACAACAUGGAGACCAUUCUUGGCGUUAAUCAUACUCUCAUCACACGGUCAUGAUUCAUCCACCAGACUUAUGUUCUCAUCUCCUUAGAAUUCAAGGACACAAUAGUAUGAGCCUAUAGUACAGAUCACGAUCAAGUAAUAUGAUUGUUUUUUAUAUAACUCUUGCUUGGGAUUUAUUUAUAUAAUUUUUUUUUUUCAAAUAAGUCUUGUAAUUUUUCCAGAUUUUGAUACCAUAAAAAGCAGCUCUGGUGGUGUGAUAGGAAGCUAUUCCUACCAAGAAUAUGAAAUUAGAGUUUUCUACACUAAAAGGGGAAGAACACUAAAAGUAAAUAAAAGAUAAAGAUAAACUUUGAUUUCUUUUCUUUGAUAUUCUUUAAUGUGUCAUAGACACUACAUAUAUAGUACUCCUAAUGGAUAAAUAACUAAAAGCCCAAAAGCUAUUUAAAAGCCCAAAAUAUCUUAAGAAUAUUCUAGAAAAUAUAAUUUCCUCUAAUACAUCAAAAUACUAAUAAAACUAAUAAUAAAUUAUUCUAUUAAGCUCCCUAUCAUGGUGUUACGUUUAUUGAGUUGUCUCCUUCCCACAGAAGCUGUUGCUUUUUAUUCUCCAAGUGAAAUCUGAUGUUUGGCUGUAGCUCGGUCUGUGCACCCUAUAUAUAUAUGCUUAAACAAAUGAUGGAAUAGAUCGAUUAGCUCCAUACAAUUCGUUUGUUGCAAGGUGAGUUCUUAUUCAUGUUGUUUCAUCUUCUAUAUUUGCGUUGAAAUGCAACUGUUUCUAGAUUGAAUUUUUAGUUAUUAAAUAUGGUGAAGCCAUUGUCUUUGUGUUGAUGUUUUCAUCGAAACAAUGUAUCUCUUGGGUCUCUAGAUGAAACUAAUUUGUCCCUGUUAUUUUUAUGUCUAUGUUUGGACGAAUGUUGUAAGACACUAGAUCAUAUAUAGGUGUUAGAUUAGUUUUGGGUCAGGAUUUAUAGUCACCGGCUUAUCCGAGACCCGUCCUUCACGAUUCUAUCAACUCUGUCUUUGUCUUCCAAAGAGUUUCCAAUGAAAGCUUCAUAUGUCUAUUCAUUGGAGAGGGUAGAAAAGGUAGAGGUCAAAUGAGUGGGUAUCUGACUAAAGUUCCACAUUGUCUAUUGCAUUAAAAAACAUAGCUGAUCACCUAUAAAAUGAAAAGACCUCUACAUACGAUAGUCACGAAGCCGUGUGAUGAUGACAUAGCGAACUAUUCUUUCGCCUUUUACUAAAGAAUACCGUGUCAGCGUUACAAUUUGCGGCAUGCGCUAGUCUUUGGAAGAGUCCUCUUUAUUGAGGGCUCUGCAAUGUUAGUUCAAGAUUCUAGUUCACAUUCUUUGCCAUGCCUCAUAAUUAGCGGGAUGCUGGCAUUAUGGAUUUUAUGUAGGAUCAGUAGGUUCCAUGUUAUGAUUGUGGCCAUUAACAAGCACAGCUCAGUGCUAUUCUGAGCUUUUAUACUAUAUUAGUGAAUGAAACUAAACAAAGUGUUUAUAUACAAGCUUGUUCUCAACUAACUUGUAGAACUAAAUUUUAACCACAAGUGCGGAGUCUGCCCAGUUGUAAGAACCUAAUCGGAACUGAUUUCUAAUCUUGAUGAUAUGUUCGGCCCAGUUGUAAGAACCUAAUUGGAACUGAAUUCUACAGUUGUAAGAACCUAAUUGGAACUGAAUUCUAAUCCUGAUAUGUUCGACAGUGGCUCAGUUGCUUAAGCUUGAUAUGUUCUACACGGUUCAAGGAUUAGUCUCCGUAUACCAACAAAAAGAAGUUUCUAUGCAAUUUUUCCAUGCUACUAACAUGUUUCAUUACAAGAAACUUACAUAGUGGCCUCAAAAGGCAAAUUUAGAUCAACUGAAGCCGAAAAAGAAUAAAAGUAUAAAACUACAGAAUCUCAGUUGCAACAUAUGCAGAAUAAAUAUAAACUCACAAAGGAAUUAAUAAACAAACUUUUGUUAACUGAAUCAAAAACACAAGAGCUCAGUUGCAAUAUAUGCAGAAUCUUUUGCCAAUUUCGAUAUAGAAACAUCAAUUAAGACAAUAGAGUCAGUGAGAUGCACUUAACUACAAAAUUCUGCUGUGGUCUUAUUACCAUCAGGUAAUUUAACGUGUAUUGAAUUUGUCGUUUUAUAUGUAGAAAAUAUGUCCAAAGUAGAGCAUAUGUGGAAAGUAGUUCCACUAUCGAAAAUCCAUAAAUCUAAUUAUCCGACUACAUAAUAAUACGAAACAGAUUUGAUACCUUGUGUGGAGAUCACUGUGAGGCAACAUCUGUACUUAGUGAAUGAAACUGAACCAGAUAGAGGAUAAAAUUGGAAGAAAUUUGAGAGAGAAAUUGACACUGAAUAUCAAUUAUCUAUUCAGCUUUUUAAAAUGCAUAUUACAACUUAAGAAAGUGUUUAUAUACAACCUUUUAUUAGGCAUGACUAAAAAUUUAAGAAAUAUAAGGUUUCUCCACAAUUGACUUUUAGAAUUAUACUUAAUUCUAGUUCUGCUCCUACACCCGAUGGAAAUCUAAACUAUCUCCUUUUAGAUGAAACCAGGUUAUCACUCUUCGGUUAAAUUUUCACUGUAUGCACCUUAGAAGGGUUAUCACUCUUCGGCUAAAUUUUCACUGUAUGAAUCUGAGAGUAUCUGUAGCUAGGCACUCUGUCGUGUAUAUAACUGCAACUGGGAGUGGGAAAUGUACUGUAAAACUAAAGAGACCAAGUAGCUGGAUAAGUUGCUUAUAAUAUUUUUUGUUGGGAGUUGAAGAUUGUCAAUAUGUGGCUGGAUUAGAAGGAAGUAAAUUCAAAAAAUUUGGUACUGGUUUGGUGACUGGAUUUUUUUACUACUAUAAUACUAUUUUUUGCUUUAAAUAUUUGCUUGUCUUUGCGCUUGGGGCAAUGACACUGCUAGUGAGAUUCUAACCGAGGCAUGUCUAUUGUUGGUUAAAAAUUAUCUCCAAACCUACUCUUAGGGGGUAAAGUCCUAUAAAUUAAGUUCAAUUUUAAUAUUUGUUCUAAGAAGUACUUCCUUUGGUCCUAUAUAUAAGAAAAAGUUUGCCUUUUAAAUUCAUUGAAUAACUAAUGUAUUUGGACAAUAUAUAAAUUAGAUAUAUUGAUUAUCCAAUGAAUCUAAAAAGCUAACUCUUUCUUAUAAAUAGGACCAGAGUAGUAAAAUAGCCCGGUCAUUAAACCAGUACCAAAUUUUUUGAAUUUACUUCAUUCUCAUCAAGCCACAAAAAAAUCUUCAACUCCCAGAACUGCUUGGUUUUCUCUUCGACUACUUUUUCCAGACUAAAAACAUUAACUUGAAACAAAUAAAGAUUGAUAUGAAAGAUAAGAUUGGAUCUCAGUUAAUUUCAUAAUGAGAGCAAAAUUAUACAUGUAAGUAACUGUACUGAAAAACAGGACAGUGAUGAGUAUCUUUCACAAAAAGAAUGCCGACGCUGAUACUUAAAUUGUCUCGUGUUAUCAUAGUCCCGCAUCGGAAUUGUUAGAGAGAAUAGUAUGGAGCAUCAAGUAUAAAAUAGAAGUGUGUGAUUCAUUAUAAGUUACUUACCUGGAUGGGGUCAAUGGGUGAUCAUGAAGGCCCAUGGCCUAGGCUAGUGACCUCCAUUGCACUCAGGAGGGGCGCUAGCCUAAGGUCUACCCAAGUGGUGGAGCCUACAUCAUAAUUUGUUGCUGUGGGGGCUUGCGUUCGCGCAGCCCCUCAUAA